AAAAUGAUAACACUAAAUUUUAAUAUUCGUCGACAUUAAUAAAUAAAUUACUAAAGACUUGAUGCAAUUCACACUAAUCUACAGUACCAAUGUUCCUGAAUAUACAAUUCAUAAAACUACUCGAUCGAUUUUGACGAAAAUUUCAGUGAUUAUUUUCAAUAUCAGAAAAAAAUAAUAUUUAAUCCACCAUGCCACAGAAAAACACCGUAUUGGACAAAUUAGUUUUAUCCAAGUGAGGUGCAGUUUAAUCAUGGUGUACCAAAAUAGCGGUGCUGUGUUUAUUUUUUAUUAGGUGAAGUCAAGAUAAACAACUAGUAGUUGUAUUUUAUAUGUAAUUUAUAAUACGCAUGCAUCAAUUUUUAUUAGGUUCUGAGCUAAAAUAAACAAACACAGAUUGAGAAAUUUAAAGCAUCUAAAGAAACAGCAGAAAAAUUGAUGCAUAAUUGAUGCAAUUGAUACUUGUGAAACAAUUUCCACUAGCGAAGACAAAGUGAGAGCUUUAUGACAGCAACCUCAUUAAUUAUUUUAUUCAAUUAAGAUGCAAUAUCGAACGUGCUCCUCACUUAUUAUAUCAACCACUAUUGUUAUACUUAAAAUUAGAAACACUUGUAAAUAGAAGAAAAAGGCUUGAUCUAUGUUUUAUUUUUAAAUUAAAUAAUGGGGAUAUUAACUGUCCGGAAUUGCUUUAUUGAAUUUCUAUGUACCAAAUUUUUGAACUAGGCAGUUGUAUACAUUUUAUAUGCCACUCCAACGUUCAAAAUAUGGUCAAAAUGCCCUUAUAAAUAGAUUAAUGCAACUUGUAAAUUAUUUAAAUGUUGAUCUGGUUUCCUGUGUUUCACUAAAUGAUUUUAAUUAUUACUUAAAUAAUAUUUUGGCUAUCCUUUAAAUGUUACAUUCUACAGUUUUUCUUUAUUUCUAUAGCUUUCAUUGUUGUAUAUUUUCUUUUUUUUUUUUUGUAUUUUUAAUGUUUUUUUUUUUUUUUUUUUUUGGUGAAUUCUUUUGAUCAUAAUUUUGUCAAACAUCACAUUUAUUAUACUUAAACAUGUCAAUUUAUUAAUUAUACUACUAUCUGUACUGUCGUAUUAUAUGUAAGAUUAAUUAGUAAUGUAAUAAUAAACAUUUAUAUAAA